rnacentral:rRNA from 1 species
GUCAGCUCGUGUUGUGAAAUGUUGGGUUAAGUCCCGCAACGAGCGCAACCCUUAUCCUUUGUUGCCAGCGGUCCGGCCGGGAACUCAAAGGAGACUGCCAGUGAUAAACUGGAGGAAGGUGGGGAUGACGUCAAGUCAUCAUGGCCCUUACGACCAGGGCUACACACGUGCUACAAUGGCGCAUACAAAGAGAAGCGACCUCGCGAGAGCAAGCGGACCUCAUAAAGUGCGUCGUAGUCCGGAUUGGAGUCUGCAACUCGACUCCAUGAAGUCGGAAUCGCUAGUAAUCGUGGAUCAGAAUGCCACGGUGAAUACGUUCCCGGGCCUUGUACACACCGCCCGUCACACCAUGGGAGUGGGUUGCAAAAGAAGUAGGUAGCUUAACCUUCGGGAGGGCGCUUACCACUUUGUGAUUCAUGACUGGGGUGAAGUCGUAACAAGGUAACCGUAGGGGAACCUGCGGUUGGAUCAC